GCCCAUGUAGCUCAGCUGGAUAGAGCAACCGCCUCCUAAGCGGUAGGUCGCAGGUUCGAAUCCUGCCUUGGGCG
rnacentral:tRNA from 1 species